AGCGAACGCUGGCGGCAUGCCUAACACAUGCGAGUCGCACGGGGGGGCUUCGGCCUCCCAGUGGCGGACGGGUGAGGAACGCGUAGGGACCUGUCGAGGGGUGGGGGAUAACCGCGGGAAACUGCGGCUAAUACCGCAUGACGCCGCGGCUUGACAGCCGCGGCCAAAGGCGAAAGCCGCCCGCCGAGGGGCCUGCGUCCGAUUCGCUGGUUGGCGGGGUUGCGGCCCACCAAGGCGUCGAACGGUAGCUGGGCUGGGAUGGUGAGCAGCCACACCGGGAAGGAGAGACGGCCCGGACUCCGAGGGGAGGCAGCGGUGAGGAAUAUAGGACGGUGGGCGCAAGCCUGAUCCAGCAAUGCCGCGUGGGUGAAGAAGGUCGGCGGAUUGUAAAGCCCUUUCGGCGGGGACGAUGGUGACGGUACCCGCAGAAGAAGCGCCGGCUAACUUCGUG
rnacentral:rRNA from 1 species